GUAUAAAGAAAUCCAUUUUCUGCCGGUCUGGGGACAGGCAGUGCUACAGUAGAGCAGAGGAAAUCCAGACGGGUUGUUUCCAUCUGUCCUGGGGCCUGUCUCUAUAACUCCGCCACACAU
ensembl:snoRNA LOC120094473 small nucleolar RNA SNORA55